rnacentral:rRNA from 1 species
CAAUAGCGUAUAUUUAAGUUGUUGCAGUUAAAAAGCUCGUAGUCGGAUUUUGGCUGAGAACGAUCGGUCCGCCGUUAGGUGUGCACUGAUUGGUCUCAGCUUCCUGGUGAGGAGGUGUGCUUCACGGCCACUUAGUCACCGUGGUUACUUUGAAAAAAUUAGAGUGUUCAAAGCGGGCUUACGCUUGAAUAUAUUAGCAUGGAAUAACACCAUAGGACUCCUGUCCUAUUUCGUUGGUCUCGGGACGGGAGUAAUGAUUAAGAGGAACAGUUGGGGGCAUUCGUAUUUCAUUGUCAGAGGUGAAAUUCUUGGAUUUGUGAAAGACGAACUUCUGCGAAAGCAUUUGCCAAGGAUGUUUUCAUUGA